ensembl:rRNA 5S_rRNA 5S ribosomal RNA
GGCUAUGGCCAUAGCACCCUGAACACACCCAAUCUCCUCUGUUCUCAGAAGCUAAGAAGGGUUGGACCUGGGAAUACUGGGUGCUGUAGGCU